AUGCCUGAUGGCACCAAUAUCCUUGAUGACAAGUUCUACCUAGGAGAUGAUGGCUAUGCAUGUCAUCCUGGUGUUCUUCCACUCUUCGGGAAAAUUAGGUAUCAUCUAAAUGAGUUAUCUUCUAGGAACUAUCCUAGGACUGUGUAGGAAUUGUUCGGUCUCAGACACUCAAACCUUAGAGUUACAUCUAAGAGGGCAUUUGGAGCUCUUAAGAAUCGAUUUAAGAUCCUGGAUCAGAACUCAUUCCACCCUUUACCCAUUCAAGUUAGGCUUGUUCUUGCAUGUUGCAUUCUGCAUAACUGGAUCCUACAAUGGGGUUAUGAUGAGUUGGUGCCAGAGGAAUAAGAUGUGAUGGCCGAUUAUGAUGACUCCGGUCUUGGUGUGGAGGCACAUGACAAUGAAGCUUGGAAGAGCAAAAGGUUGCAAUUGGCCAAGGCAAUGUGGGCAAACAUAGGAGCCACAAGCAUAAGCGGAGCCAGGAUUUCUCAAAGCCCGAGGCUAAAACUAAGUGACUAA
rnacentral:rRNA from 1 species